UUGAACGCUGGCGGCAGGCCUAACACAUGCAAGUCGAGCGGAUGAAGGGAGCUUGCUCCUGGAUUCAGCGGCGGACGGGUGAGUAAUGCCUAGGAAUCUGCCUGGUAGUGGGGGAUAACGUCCGGAAACGGGCGCUAAUACCGCAUACGUCCUGAGGGAGAAAGUGGGGGAUCUUCGGACCUCACGCUAUCAGAUGAGCCUAGGUCGGAUUAGCUAGUUGGUGGGGUAGAGGCCUACCAAGGCGACGAUCCGUAACUGGUCUGAGAGGAUGAUCAGUCACACUGGAACUGAGACACGGUCCAGACUCCUACGGGAGGCAGCAGUGGGGAAUAUUGGACAAUGGGCGAAAGCCUGAUCCAGCCAUGCCGCGUGUGUGAAGAAGGUCUUCGGAUUGUAAAGCACUUUAAGUUGGGAGGAAGGGCAGUAAGUUAAUACCUUGCUGUUUUGACGUUACCAACAGAAUAAGCACCGGCUAACUUCGUG
rnacentral:rRNA from 1 species